CUCCAGAGAGCAGCCGAGAAAAAGAGCGGCAGAGGAUGUGAGCGUGUGAACGGCGGCGUGCCGAGCGCCACGCGCAGAUAACAAACAGUUUAUCAGCGAGCCAGAGAAACUCUGCUGGAGAGCCAUCCUGCCACAAUCAGACGGAGGUGGAGGUGAAGAGAGGGGGAAGAGAAAUGUAAAGAGCAAAGACCAGAAGAGGCGGGAAGACGGAGGCCAGCCGGAGAGGAUGGAGGAGGCGGAGGGAGGCGGCGCACUGCCCCCUGUAGGAUCGUCCUGCUCGCUGCAGCCUGAUGAUGAUGAUGAUGAUGAUGAAGCUCCUGCAGCGUUACUGUGAUCAAACCAAAGAGGAGCCGACAGACGAGCAGAGACGCUCUGAAGCUGCAGGUAGGUGAACACUGCUGGAUUCACCUGUGAUCAGCUGACAGCCUGUUUAAAGCGA
rnacentral:lncRNA from 1 species